GCUUAUAUUUGGAAUGAGGUGAGCGUUAGUACAUGUGGCACACCUGGGCUUAUACAUGGGGAGGCUUAUAUUUGGAGGGGCUUAUAGUCGGAGGUUUACAGUAUACUGUAGCUCUGACUAAACUCAGACCGAGCUCAAACUGCUCAUGCAAAUUAUCGUGAUGCAAUUUGAGCUCGUUUAACCGGGCUGAAAACUCUCCAUGUAUAAUGGUAAACAGUUUCUUCAUGCAUAAAAUGUGAGCCUGGGAUUUCUCGGAGGCAUA